rnacentral:rRNA from 1 species
UACGAAGGGGGCUAGCGUUGCUCGGAAUGACUGGGCGUAAAGGGCGCGUAGGCGGAUGGCACAGUCAGAUGUGAAAUUCCCGGGCUUAACCGUGGGGGCUGCAUUUGAUACGUGUGAUCUAGAGUGAGGAAGAGGGUCGUGGAAUUCCCAGUGUAGAGGUGAAAUUCGUAGAUAUUGGGAAGAACACCGGUGGCGAAGGCGGCGACCUGGUCCUUGACUGACGCUGAGGCGCGAAAGCGUGGGGAGCAAACAGG